rnacentral:rRNA from 1 species
GAUGAACGCUAGCGGCAGGCUUAACACAUGCAAGUCGAGGGGUAGAAGCAGCUUGCUGCUUUGAGACCGGCGCACGGGUGCGUAACGCGUAUGCAAUCUACCUUUUACAGAGGGAUAGCCCAGAGAAAUUUGGAUUAAUACCUCAUAGUAUGUGAGAAUCGCAUGGUUUUCACAUUAAAGUUCCAACGGUAAAAGAUGAGCAUGCGUCCCAUUAGCUAGAUGGUGAGGUAACGGCUCACCAUGGCGACGAUGGGUAGGGGCCUGAGAGGGUGGUCCCCCACACUGGUACUGAGACACGGACCAGACUCCUACGGGAGCAGCAGUGAGGAAUAUUGGUCAAUGGGCGCAAGCCUGAACCAGCCAUGCCGCGUGCAGGAAGAAGGUCCUAUGGAUUGUAAACUGCUUUUAUUGGGAAUAAACCUCUUUACGUGUAGAGAGCUGAAGGUACCAAAUGAAUAAGCACCGGCUAACUCCGUGCCAG